rfam:Triticum aestivum genome assembly, contig: Triticum_aestivum_CS42_TGACv1_scaffold_594211_7BS
AUAGUACUCCCUCCGUUCGGAAUUACUCGUCGCAGAAAUGGAUGUAUCUAGACGUAUUUUAGUUCUAGAUACAUCCGUUUCUGAGACAAGUAAUUCCGAACGGAGGGAGUAACUA